CAGUAGCCACGGUAAUACGUAGGGUGCAAGCGUUAAUCGGAAUUACUGGGCGUAAAGCGUGCGCAGGCGGUUAUAUAAGACAGAUGUGAAAUCCCCGGGCUCAACCUGGGAACUGCAUUUGUGACUGUAUAGCUAGAGUACGGCAGAGGGGGAUGGAAUUCCGCGUGUAGCAGUGAAAUGCGUAGAUAUGCGGAGGAACACCGAUGGCGAAGGCAAUCCCCUGGGCCUGUACUGACGCUCAUGCACGAAAGCGUGGGGAGCAAACAGGAUUAGAUACCCGAGUGUCCCUGUCUCUUAUACA
rnacentral:rRNA from 1 species